AAAAUUAAAAUUAGCACAAAAUAUAGUCCCAGGCUUCACAGAAUUGACAUUUUGAUUUGUGAGAAUAUAUAUACGCAUGUGAACAAUUUCUCACUACAAAAGAUCACAUCCUUGCAUGCAACAUAACUUUAAAAAAGUAUGUAUAUGCAAAAUCUAAAGUGUCAUAAUUAAGAUAAUCAUACAUAUUGGCUUUCCUGUGACAGCACUAGUUUAUACUCACUUUCCUAGCAUAAUUAUUAAUAGUGCUCCUUUUUAAUCUUAAUAUCAUCUCAAUUUGGAUAAUAAUUUAUGUGGUCCCAAGUUAUAAUGCAGAAUAAACAUAUUGCUCUCAGUCAAGUGGGAGAAACUUCCUGAUAAGUUAGCUGUGAUCAGUGGUCAGCUAAAACUGUUCAUUUCGUAUAUAUUGUGUUUGGGAUUACUUAUAAUCUAUUGAAAGAGACAGUCAUGGGAUGUAAUGAAAAGCUAAUAUUUUCAGCUUGUAGAAGGAAAAAGCAGUUGCCUGAAAAACUAGAGAAAACAGAGUGUUUCUGAGGAUAAUCCUUGUGGUGGGAGGAGCUAUCACAUUACGGAGCAGGUAAGGACUCUUCAAUCUGAGAAAGAAAUGACAGAAACUAGGAUUGUUCAAUCCCUUCUCCAAUGGUGUUUUCAUUUAUGACCCUACUUUCACGCAGUGGUUAGUCUACCCUCUCUCUUGUUCUAGCUUUUUACCCCAACAAUGAUAAAAAUACAGGUAGGUUUAAAGGCGCAUGCCCAGGAUAUACUAAAGACUGAGCACAUUAGUUUGCUGUACAAGAAAAAAAAUGUAUAGAAAGAUAAUCAGCAAAACCUCCAAAGGAUCUUAGUUCAAGUUGAAACUAAAGAAAUGUGAUACCAGAAGAGCCAUUUCCAUGGAAAGAUUGACUGUGAGACGCACACGCUUAUGCACAUGCCACACUUGCAGCAUCAAUUUACCUUUUACAUCUCACCCAGUUGACAUUUUGAAAAUAAUUGGAUAAAUACAUUUUUACAUUUGUAGAUGGCCAAAAUCUCUUCACACCAAUUACAACGAAACAUGAUGUUCAAUGAGGUAUACAAAGCUGAGAUAUACCAUUCGUUUCAUGUGCUUAAAAUAUUAAAUUGAUACUGAUUUUAUUGUUUCACCACCAUUAAUUAUUGAACUCGAAUCAUUUUAAAGAAAAACUUCAUAUUCAGCAGUAAACUAUUAAAAUGAUUUUAUUUAAAACGUCAUUUUCUCUGUAGUUAGUAUUUAGAAAAAAUAUUGUAAUGCAUGGCUUUUAUUUUCUGGUAAUUUAAUUAAUCAAAUAGGUUUCAAUUAUGAUGGCAUCAAUAUGGCACUUAAUUACCACAUAUGUAUCAUAACAACUAGGUACAAAAUGAGAGGUAAUUUCUCUAUUUUGUGUUAUUCCUUCUUAUACUAUAUAUAUAUGUAAAACGUAUUAAAUUUUUUUUCUUAUUUUAUAAACAAUAUAUGUUUUUCUCCUCCCUGAUAACCGUAAAAGAAUGUGAAACAAAAAAGGAAUAUCCUGACAAGGGAAAAACAAUUCUACAACGCAAGGAUUUGCCAAUUUCUCGCCUUCUGAAUUUAAUUUCGUGAACUCUCAGCAUCCUAAUGCUCUCAAUGUGACUUUAGGUGCUUGCGAAGAGCCAAUAAAAAUGUUAUAAUAUAUUGUAAGCCAUUGAGUCUGGGACUUUAAUUUGAUUAUACUGUCUGCAGAUCUUUAAAAGUUAGUAUGAAAGACAUCCAAAUCUAAUAAAAUCUAAUCUGAGCAAGGAAUUACUGAGUUUUCCAAAUCCAUUAAGAAACCUAAUGGACAUGUGUUGUGAGCUAAGGCAAAUUGACUAAUCUAAUUUUGCUUUUAAGUGAGCUAGGAUAGUGCCAUCUUCAAAGACCUCUCUUUAGAUAUUAACUAAAAGGGCUACAAUAAUAAGCAUCAUUACACUAAAAGAGUACUGUAUCAAGAUUACUGAAUCUCUGAUCUUUCAUUUAAAAAGGGACCAUUGUAAACGAGCAGAACGCUGCCCUCAAUGAUAAAGUCAAGACUGAGAGCAGGGUGCAAUUAGGAGGAAAUAGUCUGUACAUUUGCCAUAAACCCACAAAGCAGUGCAAAAGGAAAAAAAAAUACAAGGUGAAAUUUCCAUAAAUAUCCAUAAAAUAUGUUAUUAAGUUAGGCUUCCUUGAGAAAGUUUUGUUUUUUGUUUUCAGUUUUCUUAUUGUGUGUUUCUAUUUUUCUAUUGUCUCUAAUAACAGGGUAACUCCGUCACUUGAGUAAAGAAAACGUAUCUGCCUUUGGGAGACUUUCACAGACAAUAAUGCACCCUAAUGAUUCUCCCAAUGUAACUUCAUUUUCAUUUGAGUCCCAGUGCAUCAAAAGAUAUUUUUAAAAACAGAAAGUAAUCUCACAUCAUGCCUGAUAUACUUAUUAGCAAGGUGACAUCAAAAGUGCCUACGUGGUUAUGCCUCAUGCAGGUUUUUCCAUCUCUCAUUCGAAGAAUCCUUCAGAAACAUGUUAAACACCUUUACAAUGGGCCUGUGCUAGGCACUGGAGAGACACACGACCCCUUGGCACUGGUAGUUUACAGUUUUCGGGGCCAAAUAUUAAUGUCACCACUAAAGCUAAUAUUAUAGGAGCUGUAGUUAUGAAAGUAUAUAUUUUGAAACAUAUUUCAUAAACAUUAGAAAUUAUCUGUGAAUACAUUAUUAAAACAGACCACUGUGGUAAAAAGUGAUGGUAAAAUUAACAUAAGUAGAAAGAGCUAAAAUCAAUAGGUUAGAAGGAGAAAGCAACUUCAUUUCUUUCUCCCAUAUAUUUAAGCUUGCUCUUGUCAUAUCUUCUCACCCUGAAAACUAUGUCAGUUGGGUCCCAUACCUUCCCGAGCACUUCAAGGCACUAAAGAACAAUAUCAUUUUCAACAUGAACAAGUUCAUUCUGAUAUCAAAAUAUCAGUCUCACCCAAAUAAAUACUUCUUUGCUCUCCUAGCUUGUCUUGUCCGGUAAAUUCUCCAACAGUGGGGAAAUGGGGGCAGCCAUAUUCCACCCCAGGUUUUGGAUAAAUGAAGGAAGGAGUGGUCAGGCAUCAAAGCAGUCCUCCCUGACUAGCGUUGUUAUAAUCUGGAGUUGGUGCGACCAAUUUCUGUGGGAAGAUGCUUGAAUGCUGGUUUUCCCUGGAUGGUUGUUUUGUAUGUUCAGAGCUCUCUCUCCCCACGUCCUGGAGACUUCCCAUUUGCUGCCCGUUUCC
rnacentral:lncRNA from 1 species